rnacentral:lncRNA from 1 species
UCAAUUGAAAUUCGAGCAAAGUAUGUAGUAACUUUCAUUGCACAUAUAUAUGACUAUUUCUCCUUAAAAAUUAGUAUCAAACUACAUUUCCGACAAUCCAAUACCAAAUAAUUAAGACUGAUAAAUCUCCCAAGUACCCUCUAGCAGAUAAUUGAUCACCCCUUUUACUAACAUGUAACAGUGUAAGAGAAAUCAAAAUACGGUAAAACAGAGAGAUUAAACAUUAUUCAGAAAAACAAAAAAAGUCGUUACAUAAGAAAAAAUAUAUCCAUCAUACGCUAUUGUUGAUGAUUCUUCGCCUUGCAAGAAACCUAGCGAUCGGCGGUCGUUACAUAAGAAAAAAAUAUAUUCAUCAUGCGCUAUUGUUGAUAAUUCUUCGCCUUGCAAGAAACCUAGCGAUCGGCGGCGUAAGACCUAGAGUU